AGUGAACGCUGGCGGUAGGCCUAACACAUGCAAGUCGAACGGCAGCACAGUAAGAGCUUGCUCUUACGGGUGGCGAGUGGCGGACGGGUGAGGAAUACAUCGGAAUCUACUUUUUCGUGGGGGAUAACAUAGGGAAACUUACGCUAAUACCGCAUACGACCUACGGGUGAAAGCAGGGGAUCUUCGGACCUUGCGCGAUUGAAUGAGCCGAUGUCGGAUUAGCUAGUUGGCGGGGUAAAGGCCCACCAAGGCGACGAUCCGUAGCUGGUCUGAGAGGAUGAUCAGCCACACUGGAACUAAGACACGGUCCAGACUCCUACGGGAGGCAGCAGUGGGGAAUAUUGGACAAUGGGCGCAAGCCUGAUCCAGCCAUACCGCGUGGGUGAAGAAGGCCUUCGGGUUGUAAAGCCCUUUUGUUGGGAAAGAAAAGCAGCAGGUUAAUACCCCGCUGUUCUGACGGUACCCAAAGAAUAAGCACCGGCUAACUUCGUG
rnacentral:rRNA from 1 species